GGAGGAGUGGCUGAGUGGUCGAAAGCGGCGGUCUUGAAAACCGUUGAGCGUUCACGCGCUCCGGGGGUUCGAAUCCCUCCUCCUCCGCCA
rnacentral:tRNA from 1 species